rnacentral:tRNA from 1 species
GGGCUUGUAGCUCAGCUGGUUAGAGCACUGCCCUGAUAAGGCAGGGGUCAAUGGUUCGAGUCCAUUCAAGCCCA